AUGGUCCCCGUCUUUGAACAGCCUGCCCUGCAAGGCUACAUGUGUUUUAUAUUCCUUCUCUCCUCUCUGCCUGGGCGGAGCUCACUGUGGCCCACAAACCUGUUCGUGAUUAGCUGUCCACUAUUUGAGGCUCGUCGCUGGAUGAUUGUGCGAGACACUUUUCCUCCCCGGACCUGUGACCUUCCUGCUGUGCGAAUGUGUGGGAGUUUGGGCGUGAAGACGAGAAUGAGUUUCCCCUUGGACCUUUGGAACCAUGGAUUUCCCCCCUCAGUGUAUAUAUUCUGUACUGGUGUUGUAAAUAAACUGGGUUUCAUCCAGCUCAUCCUGUUAAAAAGAAUACAUAAGUUUAAGAAAUGUGUGUGAGAGAGACAUAUGACUUGCAUAUAUAACUGAAAUAACUAGAGAAAAGAAAAAAAUGAAAAAAAAAACGUUUUCAUGAAUAUCGCUGUCUACACAAUGUUUAAGCUAGAAUGAAGUUUGCAAUAUUUCCUGUUACCACCCCCUUAUUUUAAAUGUCAUUAAUUGCAUAUCAGUUUUCAGAAUUCAACAUCAUAUGAUCCAAACUAUAUACAAGUCUACACUCACAUACAACACAUAAACAUACUCACAUAAAACAGUUUCAGCUAAUAAACCAAAACAAAAACAAACUACAUUUUUACAUAAAGUAAGAAUCCUGUGGUUAACACCAGAUUAAUCUCUGAGCUUAUUUUAUAUCUAUGUGACAAAUACUUGAAUGAACACUUUAAGCUUGGGUUACUUUUCCCUUGGUCUAUAAAAAUUAGGUCAAAGCUUAAACAGAUCACAAUGAGACAACUCAGGCACUGAGAGGAUGAUUUCCUAUAUUCAUGGAAUUUAUUAUUUUCAAAUAAUCAUUUUUAUAAUGAUGUACUUUUCCUAGUGCCACCUGAAAAAGUGUUCCAAAAACUCCUGUUACUGUAAUGCUGUGAUAUUUUACACUCGUACUUACUACUGGCGUGGCUCAUCUACUCCCCUCAUAAACAUUGACUUUGCUACAUUUAAAGUUUUAGUUUUAGUCCAUUUGUUACAAUUACUUUAGCCAAGCCUAGACCAACAUAAAGAGGAAAGUCAUUAAAUGAUCAUUGUAGUUUUUAUUUGAAAGUUAUUUGGAUAUUCCAAUCCCUUAGUACCUUUAUUUACGAUACUAUUUAAUACUGUCCACAUGUUUUUCAUAUUGUUUUUAUUUUACUGUAUACAGUAGUAAUUUCUUUUGCUUGGCAUCCAGAAGACCAUCAGGGUGUACUCAUCCCUGGCGCUGUUGCCUGUAAACACGAUAUAGCACCCAUUUCGUGCCCACGAAAUAGUAUUUCGUGGGCACAAUUUAUUUAUUUUUUGGACCAUGUCAUCAGAGGGGCUCUGUAGAUAACGUCCGAAGCGGGUGAGUAAAGUCACCCAGUCGCUAGCUGUGCCAUUACCCAGCAUACACCACUCCCUCCAUAAAUGCAAUAAAUGAUACAAAAGUAAUGGCCUAUAAUUAAUUUAUCUGCUGUAUCUGCUGUUUCUCAGGUAGUUGUUUACAUUAUAUAAUUUAUUCUGUUCAGUACACGUCACUACAAUGUGAUCUCAUAAAUAUAUAAAUAUACGGACAACAGGCUCUUCUGCGGCAAUCUGUUGUCGUCAAUAAACAAUGUUUAGGGAGCUCUAUAGUAUUCAGCGAGAGGACCCUGCACGUCAAUAAUAGUGAUAGGAUUUCCGGCUCUUUUUAGAGAACCGGCUCUUUCAGCUCAGCUCACUGAAAAGAGCCGGCUCUUUUGGCUCCGAACCUGCUCUUCAGGAUGUGUUGUUGCUUUAAUUAAUUCAUUAUUAACAACAAUAUAAAAUUAUGCACAAAAGGAAUUACUAAUGUAAAAAAUUGGUUAUAUAUAUAUAUAUAUAUAUAUAUAUAUAUAUAUAUAAAUAUAUACAGUGGCCCCUAGAGACACGUACAAACUCCAAAAAGCAUGUACAAACCCUAAAACACAUUUCUAGCGUUAACUGAACUUCCAAAACAGAGCUACCUAGAUCACUUAAAUUACACAAUUGAAAGCAUAUGUGUAUUGUUUGUGUAUUUAUACACAAGCACUCACAUAUAUUCAAAUAAUUCAUUUAUCUGUUACUACCACACACCAAAUCCGGUUGUUGGUACUUGCUGACUUGUGUAGCCACUAGGUAACAAAAGCUCAACACUGCACCUAGCAUCCUGGAGCACUUCUGUUGUCUUUUGUACGUGCUUCUGAGCUUUUACGUGUUUUGGAGUUUGUACGUGCUUUGUCUGUAGGGGCCACCGUAAAUAUACUUUUAUUUAUUCACUCUACAUAAAAUGUAAUAAAUAAAUCAUAUAAUGCAAAAACCAACAAGUCACAGUUCAACUUUUAACUAUUUAAAUUUUCAGCUUUUUCCUUUUAAACAUAUUUAAAGUGUAACAACACAAAACACGGCAAUCCACAACACAAUUAAAUAUAAAUUAAAAUAUGAAAACAAAAAGAAGAUGCAUAUUCUCUGUCACAGGGGUCUACAUGAAUACAUUUUCUGAAUCCUUUAUCAUCUGCAACUGAAAAUAGUUGUGGAUGAUUACUAUACCUUUCUAAUGUUUCGUCCUUGUCCCUGGCUCUCUUUCUUUCUCUUUUCCUCAUGCUCUGUGUCAAACUCAGUGUCAUGCAGUGACUUUUACACAACCAGAUCAGAUGAACCAACUCACACUAAAACAUGCAUUUUGCUGCACUCUUUACACUUGUUUCUUUUCUUCCUGCUCUUUUAUAUAUUUUGUAAAACCACCAAAAAAAAAUGUCUGCAGCAAUUUUUCUCAAACCGCUGCAUCACAGCUUUCAUGCUCUAACCUGCAUGUGAAAUGAAAUAAAAGCUCUUUUUUAAUAACUUUUACAACUUCUGGCAGGUUAAUGUCUGAACUUUGGAAUGAAACACACCCUUAGUUACAAGAAAUAACACCACUGAUUCUUCUGACACUCACACAUAUUGUUGGACCAAACUAGCAGCUUCCUCUGAGUCCAGCUACAGGAGAGAAAAGUGGAAAACUCCAACGCUGCUGCUUCAAGCUGCUGACGCUCCACACACUGAAUGUGAGUUUGAGCAAAAACACGACUGAAAGGAAGUUUCAGUGAAGGUAGUAGAGGAGGGAGGGGAGCCAGGACUGACUGUACUUCCUGUCUGCUGAUUUCAGCUUCACUCACAGACUCAAUGGCUUCCAGAUCAGAGGAGGAUCUCUGCUGUCCGGUCUGUCAGGAGGUCUUCAGAGAUCCUGUUCUUCUGUCAUGUAGCCACAGCUUCUGUAAAGACUGUCUGAAGAGAUGGUGGAGAGAGAGACCAGUUAAAGGUUUGUGAAGAAGUUCAAGUGAAGUUUGAUCAAACAGCAGUACACAUUAAGGCAGGGCUCUAGACUAACUUUUUGACAUGGGCGCACCGGUACGCCUAACUUAAAAAAUUUAGGCGUACCGGCACAAAAGUUAGGCGCACUCAAAUUUUUCAACCGCUUUGCUUAACACCGCAGUUUUACAUGUGCACUUUCUUUGGGGGGAGGUCCAUACAGACAAUAUUCAUUUCUAAAUUAUUAACUAACAAUGUUGUGCUUAAAGUGCUUUGUCAAUAUUGUAGAAAAUGUUAAACUUAAUCAUCAUCUUGGCCUCCUCUAACAACCUGUUUGCUGUUGCAUGCUGCUGAAAGGCAGUGGGGAGAGGGGACACUUGGGCAGUGCAUUUAUUUCAGCAUAUAAUGUGUUUUCUGGAUACACUGCUGCUUUUUCAGCAUUCAAAGAUUGAUGGCUCCAUGUCAGAGCUGGCUAUGAAUUUCAGACGGAUCAGGCCUUAACUUAACAAAAAAGUUAUCAAUAGUUCUUUUCAUCUUUUCUUAUUACCCACAGCUACAUCCACUUCUGUCGGGCCUAGGCUGCUCACUAGGGCUGGGUAUCAUCACUGAUUUCUAUAAUCCAUUUGAUUCCGGUUCUCAAAGUCCUGAUUCGAUUCAGUUUAGCCUCAGACAGUCAGAAAUAUUAUAAUUCUGAUCAUUUAUCAGUACUGACACUUGUGAGACUUCAUCAGAAUUGUGAACAUCACAGCAGAUGCCUUUGUGUAAAAGUAACUGAGAAUAAAACACAGAAAAACAUGAAGGAGACUUUCCUGGUCUGGCUUUUUAUUCUGCAAUAUUCUGCAAUUUUGCAUAAUUUUAAGAAGUUCAAAUUUCUUCAGUAUUGAACAGCAGAAAUUAGGCUUUCUUGUCGGACGUCAUUUACAUGAAAAAAGAAAAAGACAGCGCUGUAAACAACGGUAGACUGGUGGGUAAUAAGCGAAUGAAUAAUCCAGAAAACAGAGAUUUGAGACGGGAAACUGUUCUUGAAGUACACACAGGGAGCUGUGUAGAAAGUGUAAUUUUUAUCGUGGGGAAGCAAAACAGCAAAAGUCAGAGGGAAUUCAUGACGACAUUGAUCAAAUGUGAAGUGCAGUUUGCUGCUUCUUUUUGGCUCGGCAAAUUUUGGUUGGAGAGACAAAACCUGCAGCUCAGAAUCAGGUUUAGUCUGAACACUGUGGUGCAGUUUGGUUUACUCUGUUUCUGAGUGUUUGUAGGAUCAGUGUCUGCUGGUCACCUGAUAUCUGGCAGUGAAGUUUUUAUAAAUCCGCGCCAUCAGAUUUAAUCCAACAGAAUAACAUGUAAAACACUCCAGGGCUUUUAAUCUGAAACUUCUCCAGAGCUGUCUGGAGUUUUUCUUACAUUAAAAUAUUCUGUGAUUACCAGACUGUCCACAUCAUGUGUCCUACCAAAACUUCAUCUAUCAUAACUUUCAUCCACAAAUAUGUCAGAGUCUGUGAUCAUUUAAUGUGGUCUGGAAAAGCUGCAAAUGUUGCAUUUAUCUCAGAUUUGAGAGCGAGUCAUUAUUAUCAGUACUGUGUGUGUGUGUGUGUGUGUGUGUGUGUGUGAGUGUGUGAGUGAGAGAGAGAGAGAGAGAGAGAGAGCGCUGUGUCGUCCAUCAAGUGUGCUCCACAAGAAAGGAGAAGGGAUGGCAAGACAGAGAAAUACAUACACAACUUCACCUGCUUCCAAGGUGCAUGGAGGGGAUGAAAGAAUUCACAAAGCAGGAACUCCAGCAACACUUGAGGGAAGAUGAACAACUUUAAUAAUUGACCAACGCGUUUCGGCUUCUGGCCUUUAUCAUGGUCAAUUAUUAAAGUUGUUCAUCUUCCCUCAAGUGUUGCUGGAGUUCCUGCUUUGUGAAGACAGAGAAAUACUACAGGAGAGAAGACCUGCAGAAAGACUGAAAUCAGAUGGCUUCAUUUAAGCAG
rnacentral:lncRNA from 1 species